AUGACAGAAUCCAUCCCUUUUUCUCCCACCCACCCCCCACAUAGGUUCGAGAGGCACACCCAAUCAGCGCCCCCUCCCUCCCUCCUUCCCUCCCUCCCAGGCGCGGCGCCCGCCGGGCUGAGCCCCACUGAGGCGAUUUUCUCCUCACUCACCUACUCGGGGCGUCGAGGUCCGUGCAGGCUCCCCUUCGGGGCGCGGCCACUUCGGCUUCUCCCUCUUCCCUUCCUCAGCCCUGGAGUCGGCGGGGGGGGAGGGGCUGCACGGCAGAGGUGGGGGAGCCUUUCCUGUUACCCUUGCCACAUCCCGACGGCGACGAGGAAGAGGAGGAGGAGGAGCAGCUCGCUCCUGCUUUCCUUCCUCCUUCCUCCUCAAGAGACAGCCAAGCUGGGGGCGAUGCUGACGGGGGACCGUGGAGCUGCUGGGGGCGAUGAUGGCGGCGGCUACUGCCGCUGCCCGCACACCCAGCCCCCCCUUUUUUCCCGCUCGUUGUCUUUCUCCUGCCUUCAGUCCACCGCUCUUUUCCUCACAAAACAAUUCCCCACAGCAGGCGAGAGAGAACGAAGGACGUGCGCGCACGCGCCGCCCUCCCUUUCACGCGCGGCGCUUGUCUUUCUCCUGCCUUCAGUCCACCGCUCUUUUCCUCACAAAACAAUUCCCCACAGCAGGCGAGAGAGAACGAAGGACGUGCGCGCACGCGCCGCCCUCCCUUUCACGCGCGGCGCCGCAAAAGAGUGAACGGAUUCGGCGGGCGGGGAGGGGGCGCGGCGCACCACCGCCUCGCGCUUCUUCUUCUUUAGAUCUGCGCGCGCAGGCCCAGGCGCGCACGCGCCACGCGUUUGCCAGGUCACUCAGCCAGCGCUGGGGAGCGGGGGGGGGCCGUGCGCGCGCGCUCCUCUCCCACGCUAAAAGGGGAGGGACGGGCACUCGUGCCAGCACACAGGUGGUGGGUGGGGUUAGAACCACCUCUGGCGCGCGCGGUGUUUCAACUUCCUUUUCGCACCAGGGGGCGCGCACUCGUGGAAAGAGUUGCCCCCCCCUCCACUUGCA
rnacentral:lncRNA from 1 species